rnacentral:rRNA from 1 species
GACGAACGCUGGCGGCGUGCUUAACACAUGCAAGUCGAACGGAAAGGCCCUGCUUUUGUGGGGUGCUCGAGUGGCGAACGGGUGAGUAACACGUGAGUAACCUGCCCUUGACUUUGGGAUAACUUCAGGAAACUGGGGCUAAUACCGGAUAGGAGCUCCUGCUGCAUGGUGGGGGUUGGAAAGUUUCGGCGGUUGGGGAUGGACUCGCGGCUUAUCAGCUUGUUGGUGGGGUAGUGGCUUACCAAGGCUUUGACGGGUAGCCGGCCUGAGAGGGUGACCGGCCACAUUGGGACGGAGAUGCGGCCCAGACUCCUACGGGAGGCAGCAGUGGGGAAUAUUGCACAAUGGGCGGAAGCCUGAUGCAGCAACGCCGCGUGCGGGAUGACGGCCUUCGGGUUGUAAACCGCUUUCGCCUGUGACGAAGCGUGAGUGACGGUAAUGGGUAAAGAAGCACCGGCUAACUACGUG